AUUAUAGUAAUACAGUAACGAUUAACUCGUAUAAAAUUCUAAAUAGGAUAAUGAUAAUGACAAUUUCCUAUUUAUAAGUCUUGACCAAAUUACGUGCCAGCAGUCGCGGUAAUACGUAGAAGACUAGUGUUAGUCAUCUUUAUUAGGUUUAAAGGGUACCUAGACGGUAAAUUAAACUCUAAAUGAGUACUUUUUUACUAGAGUUUUAUGUGAGAAGGAAGAAUUUCUGGAGUAGUGAUGAAAUACCUUGAUACCAGAAGGACUGGUAACGGCGAAGGCAUCCUUCUAUGUAAAAACUGACGUUGAGGGACGAAGGCUUGGGUAGCAAUAAGGAUUAGAUACCCUAGUAGUCCAAGCAGAAAAUGAUGAAUGUCAUAGGCUAGAUAAUAUUUAGUCUAUAAAUGAAAGUGUAAGC
rnacentral:rRNA from 1 species